rnacentral:tRNA from 1 species
GCUAUUUUGGCAGAUUAAUGUGCUGGGCUUAGGACUCAUCUAUGUAAUUAUAUUACAAGUAGUA